GUGGCAGCGGCGGUGGUGAAAGGACGCUUCGCUUAUCUGUUCUUUUUUGCCUAUCCAGACGUCCGGAAAGCUGCUGCCGUGGCUGCGGAACUGCGUGCUGAUUGACGUCACUGACCUCGUGCAAGUGUUGUCGCACUUCCGGUGCCGAAACUGCGACUGGACACACGGGUGGCAGCGGCGGUGGUGAAAGGACGCUUCGCUUAUCUGUUCUUUUUUGCCUAUCCAGACGUCCGGAAAGCUGCUGCCGUGGCUGCGGAACUGCGUGCUGAUUGACGUCACUGACCUCGUGCAAGUGUUGUCGCACUUCCGGUGCCGAAACUGCGACUGGACACACGGGUGGCAGCGGCGGUGGUGAAAGGACGCUUCGCUUAUCUGUUCUUUUUUGCCUAUCCAGGUUGGUAAAUUCGCUUAUUUUUUUCUGUUUAACGCUACGUUACCGCUACCGCCGUUGCCACCGUGUUCUCUGCUUUGCUCAGUGCUGUGUGCUAUAUGUGCCUUUUGGCAAAGUGAGUGCUGCCGUGUAUUUCUGGACCACGGAACAUGGCAAACAGAUGUCAGUCCUGCGAUGAGCCCCUCCCACUUGACGGCCGCGUCCUGAAAUGCAGCGAAUGUGAGUCCUCUUAUCAUAUCGGUAAUUGUUCUGGCUGGUCGGGGUCAACAUUCAAGAGCAAAGGCGAGAGCGGCCGCAAGGCAUGGCGAUGCAUUACUUGCCGUCCAUCAAAAGCCAACGGUGGGGACAAAACAAACAUUAAUGCUGAGCUAACUAUCUGUCUGGCAGAUAUAACUAGGAGGCUUGAUGCUCUGGCUGGGUUGCCAGCUCAAGUUG